UACAGAGGGUGCAAGCGUUGUUCGGAAUUAUUGGGCGUAAAGGGCGCGUAGGCGGUGCGGUAAGUCUGCGGUGAAAUCUCCCGGCUCAACUGGGAGGCUGCCGUGGAAACUGCCGUGCUUGAGUGUGGGAGAGGUGAGUGGAAUUCCCGGUGUAGUGGUGAUAUGCGUAGAUAUCGGGAGGAACACCUGUGGCGAAGGCGGCUU
rnacentral:rRNA from 1 species